UGAGGGAAUAUUGGGUCAAUGGGCGGGAGCCUGAACCAGCCAAGUCGCGUGAGGGAGGAAGGUCCUACGGAUUGUAAACCUCUUUAGCCGGGGAGCAACGUGCGCCACGUGUGGCGCAGUGAGAGUACCCGGAGAAUAAGCAUCGGCUAACUCCGUGCCAGCAGCCGCGGUAAUACGGAGGAUGCGAGCGUUAUCCGGAUUUAUUGGGUUUAAAGGGUGCGCAGGCGGCGCGCCAAGUCAGCGGUCAAAGUUCCGGGCUCAACCCGGUGUCGCCGUUGAAACUGGCGUGCUCGAGUGCGUGCGAGGAAGGCGGAAUGCGUUGUGUAGCGGUGAAUGCAUAGAUAUCACUCAGAACACCGAUUGCGAAGGCAUCUCGCGAGGGGUCA
rnacentral:rRNA from 1 species